ACAAAACUACAUACAGUGGCUUUAAUAUUGAUCAAACUAAGAUGAGACCACCUUUCAAUAUCUUUCAAUAUGCAUUUAUCUCAAGCUAACCAUAAGAAAAGACUUUUUCAGGAGACUAAAAAAUCUCUCUAGGCUGGUUCUUUUAUGAAACAUCCUUGAAAGUCUGAUGAAAAUGAAAGAGGUGAUGGACCUGCUUUGCUUUAUUAUACUUCCUCAAUAUCCCUUCUUCCCUAUUUCUCUGAGACAUGGCUGUGAUGACCCUUCUCUUUGACUCCAAACUGAGACCUGGAUCUCUUCUUUAGAUCAACUGUUGUAGUUGCUGUUUCAUAUUAAAGGGUAAACGUUUGCAACAAAAAGCAAAAAAUCAAUGCGCCGCAUAGUUCAUUUUUGCAUGCAAUGCCUAUUUGUUGGCUUUGAAAGGACAGUUUUCUGGAAAUGAAUCCUUCAAUAAAAGUCACUGUUUUGCUUUCAGAAAACGUUCAGUUAGAUCCUUGCUUGCUUCUGAUUUGCUUUGAAAACUUUUGAGUUAUGAGUGGCCUCCGGCAUGAAAAAUAUUACAUGAGGUAAUUUGAUUUUGAGGGACUUUGCUUUCUGUUGUCUUUCUGUAGGAGAAUAUUCUUGUUCUAUGUACGCUGUUAACACUGAAUGUUUCCCUCCCUACAGUUGGGUUUUUCACCGUAUAAACUCUGUGAUUACAAAAAGUUGGGCAAAAAAGAAACACUCACAUGCAUAUAUUAAAAUCAGUAAAUAUCUAAAUAUAUAAUAUGUACAAGAAUUUUUUAAGAAUGUAUUUUGAUUAUGGCUAUUGAUUUGGUUUUGUCCCUCUGAGUUGCUUGUAAUAUUACGUGAAUAUGAUGUUUAAUUAGUUUGGGGGAACCUGAAGCAUUAUUCUGAAUGCAUGAUGUUACCGUCCUGUUUUCUCUUAUCCUGCACUGUGUUUGUUUAACUGUUGUGAUCGCGUCCUUCCUCUGUGACUGGACAGAGAAGAAGCUUACGGGGUUUUCUUUUCUCUUUUUGUGUUUGUUCUUUGCUGCUGCUAAGAGAAACUGUUCCAAUCAAUUUCCGCUGUGAAUCUUCUAUUGUGGAAUUUCGAAC
ensembl:lncRNA